rnacentral:rRNA from 2 species
CAGUCGUACCUUCGGGUAAUCAGCCUUUCGGGUGCGAUUCUGUGGAGUGUGAGGAGCUUAACACCUUCAUGCUUUGCAUAUUUGUGCUCUUGGGUGUACUUGCUCGUGUGGUUGGUUAACAUCAAUUUUGAUUAUCAUAAAAUGAUUGGAGGAAUGUAGCUUCGAUCUCGUAUUGAAGUGUUAUAGCCUUCGGUAGAUGUGAUGAUCGAGAUUGAGGAUUGCAACGGAUACCCUUCGGGGCUACCUGUCUGGUCUCUGAUCGUUGCUCUGGUGCCGAAAGCGUGCUUACGGUUAUCAAAGUCGAUGGUCAAUAGGUUAGAACGGGUUAAA